CUAAAAAUACAAAAAAUUAACCGGGCACGGUGGCGCGUGCCUGUAAUCCCAGCUACUAAGGAGGCUGAGACAGGAGAAUUGCCUGAACCCAGGAGGCGGAGGUUGCAGUGACCCGAGAUCGCGCCAUUGCACUCCAGCGGGGGUAACAAGAGCGAAACUCCGUCUCAAAAAAAAAAAAACAAACAAACAAAAAACAAAAACAUGCUUCGCCAAGUAUUUAAAGGUUAAGUAUCACGUGCGCAGUUUAUUUUCAACUUAAUUAUACUCAAAUCGUGGUCCACGUAAGAUUCAUUUAGUGGAGACACAGAAAACACGGCCCAAAGCUAAAAACCAGUGAGACGACUGCGGGGGAUAUUCCCUGUGGCAGACGUUCAGCGUUGGAUUCAGGUUUUUCUACAGCAAAACGUGAGAACGAACACGGUUAGUCGCGCACGCCGUUCACAGCGGGUUCGGGGACUCCGGGAGCGGCGGGAGAACGGCCGCGUCCCUCCUCCCCGAGGCGGCGCCGGACACCGGGAACCCCAACACAAUGUGCCACGAUCAAAUAAAAACCGCGUGGAAAGGCCGCGGUCCCCACAGGCGAACGUGCACCGGGAGCGGCGGCCCGGACACCGGGAACCCCAACACAAUGUGCCACAGUCAAAUAAAAAGCGUCUAAGCCAAAUUCCCACGGAAGCACGCCCUGUUCACAGCGAAGGAAGCGGACGUCCCCCCUCUCACCAGCUCCGCGGAACCGAGGCGCGGCCCGGGGCCACCAGCCGCCAGCGGCGGCGACUCUCCCUUCUGGAAUCGGGGGCGACGCGCUACCCGGGGCGGGCGACCACGCCCGAGCCGGGACCCCCGCGGACGGUCCCCGGGACACGCGCGGAACUCACCAGCGCCGGGACUGGCAUCCGCGAGGACAGGGACCGCUAACGGACAGGCGGAGCCGAUGCCGGAAGACAGGCCGGCGCGUCUCUGGCGCGUCACUUCCGCCUCCAGCCGCACGGCCGAACCGUUGGCUUCCCGCGCCCGGAAGAUUGAAUGUCUUCCGCGAUGAUGCGGGAGGGUCCCGGGGCUGCCUCGGGAACGGGGCUGGAGGCAGAGGCAGAGGCAGGCCCGGAGGACCAGGCGGACGUAGGGAUCAGGCCUCUGGGCGCCACUGCGGAGCCGGAACAGACCGAGAGCGCGAGGCUGGGCCGGUACAGCCAGGAAGUGCUCGUCGCAGCGGGAGGCCGCGGGGGCCAGUACCACCAAUACUACGUGGCAAAAGAGCACUGCUGGUACCAGGUGUUCUCCCAAGGUUCAUUCAGAAGUGUAACGUGAGUCCAGCAACAAUACGGAAAGGCUUUUUUUUGGAGCCACGCAUAUUGAUAGUAGAGUUCACAUGGAAGAACAAAUGCCUAAUAGCGAAGAAGACGUGGACAAUCAAGUGCCCUACAGAUAUGAAAACAGCCUCUUUAAUUAAAAAUGUGGUAGUGGCACAUGAACAGGAAACAGACAAGUGGAAUAUCCAGAAAUCAGCCCCAUAA
rnacentral:lncRNA from 13 species